GCUCACCAAGGCGACGAUCCGUAACUGGUCUGAGAGGAUGAUCAGUCACACUGGAACUUGAGACACGGUCCAGACUUCCUACGGGAGGCAGCAGUGGGGAAUAUUGGACAAUGGGCGAAAGCCUGAUCCAAGCCAUGCCGCGUGUGUGAAGAAGGUCUUCGGAUUGUAAAGCACUUUAAGUUGGGAGGAAGGGCCAUUACCUAAUACGUGAUGGUUUUGACGUUACCGACAGAAUAAGCACCGGCUAACUCUGUGCCAGCAGCCGCGGUAAUACAGAGGGUGCAAGCGUUAAUCGGAAUUACUGGGCGUAAAGCGCGCGUAGGUGGUUUGUUAAGUUGGAUGUGAAAUCCCCGGGCUCAACCUGGGAACUGCAUUCUAAAACUGACUGACUAGAGUAUGGUAGAGGGUGGUGGAAUUUCCUGUGUAGCGGUGAAAUGCGUAGAUAUAGGAAGGAACACCA
rnacentral:rRNA from 1 species